rnacentral:misc_RNA from 1 species
UGGGAGCGCUUCGUGGACGAGCUUCAGAAGGUGAAAGGUGUGAGGAUCGUGCAUGUGCCAAAGCAACACAAAGUGCUUAUGAUUGUCGGGUGGAAGUGUCAAAGAGGAACCAGGAGGUUGUUACCCUUGAUUGUCUCGAGCGUAUGUGGGUCACAAUGCGCUUCCAAGCAUCAAAGCUGCGGAGGCAGAAUGUUCAAGCCCAAGUUGUAGUUAUGAAUAGGGAGGCGGUCUAUCGUAUCGAGGAAGAGGAUAGACUACACGAUCGCAUUGGAGAUAUGUCUGAGAAGCUUGCGGUAGCUAAAGAGAAUCUCAUCGAAGUACAACAUUGCCUUGAGGGACUCAAAAGGGAACACACCAGCACAUGUUGAGGGCAGUGGACGUUGCACAUGAACGAUUCGGGACUUCACUCCGCUUUGAGCAUUUCGUGGACCGUGUUCGUGAACUCGAAGUGGAGACCUUUCGUCGGGGUGUCAACCAGACCUUUGUCAUUGCUAGAUCCCAUGAGGGAGGGAUCAACCUGGAAGCUCUGAGCGAAGAUUAUUGUGACAACUGGAGUGUCGCGGAACUCACAUAGAU